rnacentral:rRNA from 1 species
GAUGAACGCUGGCGGCGUGCCUAAUACAUGCAAGUCGAGCGAACAGACGAGGAGCUUGCUCCUCUGACGUUAGCGGCGGACGGGUGAGUAACACGUGGAUAACCUACCUAUAAGACUGGGAUAACAUCGGGAAACCGGAGCUAAUACCGGAUAAUAUAUUGAACCGCAUGGUGCAAUAGUGAAAGACGGUUUUGCUGUCACUUAUAGAUGGAUCCGCGCCGGAUUAGCUAGUUGGUAAGGUAACGGCUUACCAAGGCAACGAUGCGUAGCCGACCUGAGAGGGUGAUCGGCCACACUGGAACUGAGACACGGUCCAGACUCCUAGGGGAGGCAGCAGUCGGGAAUCUUCCGCAAUGGGCGAAAGCCUGACGGAGCAACGCCGCGUGAGUGAUGAAGGUCUUCGGAUCGUAAAGCUCUGUUGUUAGGAAAGAACAAAUGUGUAAGUAACUAUGCACGUCUUGACGGUACCUAAUCAGAAAGCAACGGCUAACUACGUG